rnacentral:rRNA from 1 species
GACGAACGCUGGCGGCGUGCUUAACACAUGCAAGUCGAACGGAAAGGCCCUGCUUUUGUGGGGUGCUCGAGUGGCGAACGGGUGAGUAACACGUGAGUAACCUGCCCUUGACUUUGGGAUAACUUCAGGAAACUGGGGCUAAUACCGGAUAGGAGCUCCUGCUGCAUGGUGGGGGGUGGAAAGUUUCGGCGGUUGGGGAUGGACUCGCGGCUUAUCAGCUUGUUGGUGGGGUAGUGGCUUACCAAGGCUUUGGCGGGUAGCCGGCCUGAGAGGGUGACCGGCCACAUUGGGACUGAGAUACGGACCAGACUCCUACGGGAGGCAGCAGUGGGGAAUAUUGCACAAUGGGCGGAAGCCUGAUGCAGCAACGCCGCGUGCGGGAUGACGGCCUUCGGGUUGUAAACCGCUUUCGCCUGUGACGAAGCGUGAGUGACGGUAAUGGGUAAAGAAGCACCGGCUAACUACGUG